rnacentral:rRNA from 1 species
GAUCAGCCCGCGCCCCGUAAAAAGGCACGGCCCGCCCGAGGACCCCUAAACUCUGUUUUUAGUGGAACUUCUGAGUAAACAAAACAAAUAAAUCAAAACUUUCAACAACGGAUCUCUUGGUUCUGGCAUC